UACGUAGGGUGCGAGCGUUAAUCGGAAUUACUGGGCGUAAAGGGUGCGCAGGCGGAUAUGUAAGUUAGAUGUGAAAUCCCCGAGCUUAACUUGGGAACAGCAUUUAAGACUGCAUGUCUAGAGUUUGUCAGAGGGGGGUAGAAUUCCAAGUGUAGCAGUGAAAUGCGUAGAGAUUUGGAGGAAUACCGGUGGCGAAGGCGACCCCCUGGGAUAGAACUGACGCUCAGGCACGAAAGCGUGGGUAGCAAACAGG
rnacentral:rRNA from 1 species